GGCUAAAUACUCCUGACUGACCGAUAGUGAACCAGUACCGUGAGGGAAAGGCGAAAAGAACCCCGGCGAGGGGAGUGAAAAAGAACCUGAAACCGUGUACGUACAAGCAGUGGGAGCACAGGUUUACCUGUGUGACUGCGUACCUUUUGUAUAAUGGGUCAGCGACUUAUAUUCUGUAGCAAGGUUAACCGAAUAGGGGAGCCGGAGGGAAACCGAGUCUUAAUUGGGCGUUAAGUUGCAGGGUAUAGACCCGAAACCCGGUGAUCUAGCCAUGGGCAGGUUGAAGGUUGGGUAACACUAACUGGAGGACCGAACCGACUAAUGUUGAAAAAUUAGCGGAUGACCUGUGGCUGGGGGUGAAAGGCCAAUCAAACCGGGAGAUAGCUGGUUCUCCCCGAAAGCUAUUUAGGUAGCGCCUCGUGAAUUCAUCUCCGGGGGUAGAGCACUGUUUCGGCUAGGGGGCCAUCCCGGCUUACCAACCCGAUGCAAACUGCGAAUACCGGAGAAUGUUAUCACGGGAGACACACGGCGGGUGCUAACGUCCGUCGUGAAGAGGGAAACAACCCAGACCGCCAGCUAAGGUCCCAAAGUCAUGGUUAAGUGGGAAACGAUGUGGGAAGGCCCAGACAGCCAGGAUGUUGGCUUAGAAGCAGCCAUCAUUUAAAGAAAGCGUAAUAGCUCACUGGUCGAGUCGGCCUGCGCGGAAGAUGUAACGGGGCUAAACCAU
rnacentral:rRNA from 1 species